CCUACGGGAGGCUGCAGUGAGGAAUAUUGGUCAAUGGGCGAGAGCCUGAACCAGCCAAGUCGCGUGAAGGAUGACGGCCCUACGGGUUGUAAACUUCUUUUGUCAGGGAGCAAUUGGGUCCACGCGUGGGCUUAGCGAGAGUACCUGAAAAAAAAGCAUCGGAUAACUCCGUGCGAGCAGCCGCGGUAAUACGGAGGAUGAGAGCGUUAUCCGGAUUUAUUGGGGUUAAAGGGUGCGUAGGCGGAAUAUCAAGUCAGCGGUAAAACUUCGGGGCUCAACCCCGUCGUGCCGUUGAAACUGAUGUUCUUGAGUGGGCGAGAAGUAUGCGGAAUGCGUGGUGUAGCAGUGAAAUGCAUCGAUAUCACGCAGAACUCCGAUUGCGAAGGCAGCAUACCGGCGCCCAACUGACGCUGAAGCACGAAAGCGUGGGUAUCGAACAGGAUUAGAUACCCGAGUAGUC
rnacentral:rRNA from 1 species